AGUGCAUCAGUAACAGCCCAGGCCUCUCAGCUCCAUAGUCACCCUUCAUUGUCCGGCUUCACCAAUAGAGGGCGCUGGAAGGACACUGGAGGAGAGAGGGGCUCUUCCUGGUUUGGGGUGUGCUCAUUACUAGCUGACUCCCGGAGGGCAGGCUGGCACCUUCCAGUGGAAGACUUCUCAGACCCGGGAGGAUAGAUUCCAGCGAGGUCCACCACGCAGCACCUCCACAGAAGUCCCUGUCAUCCAAGGCCUACACCUACAUCCUUUCCAACAAUGUCUGGGCUCUUCCAGAUUGGCGACUUCAUUGAACACUCUGCUUUGGUCCUCGAGGUGCGACUGCUCCCUUUAUUUCUUGCUUUCCUGUUCUUCAGAGUUCUGAAUGCUAUUCCCCCCACCCCAGUAGGAAAUCACUCAUCAUACGGGCAUGCUGUCAUGAACUAGUGUCCACUGUCAACUUGAGUCUUCCUUUUCACUUGGGAAUAUUUGGAUGAUGCUUCCCAGAUAAGGAAACUGAAUGAAAGCCAAUAAUGAAGGCUUCUAAUCAGAUCUCGAGUGUUCAGAGAUGGGAGGAGUUGCAGGGCCAGCAACACAGACAAAGAGGGCAGUGCCUUUGUUGCAUGCGUGUUAUUGGCCAGACACAUGUGACUUGUAAUUCAAGAGAUUUUAUCUUCCUGUCCCAUCCUGCCAUGAAUACCAUUAUUUGUCCACCUUUUAUUUGUUUGUUUGUUUUGGUGUUAUUAACCGUAUCUUCCUUAAGAGAAUCUUACAAAAUUAUUGAGUCCUUUAAGUGCAUUUUUAAAGUCUUGAGAAUUAUUUUUGCUUUGACCUUUCACCGGAGGCAUUAUUUUACAAUUCCUUUGCUUGAUCUAUGUUGGACUUUUUAAAAGCUGCCACAACUCUAGUAGAAUUUAAAAAUGUAAUUUAAAGGAUCCCAAACUGCUUUAGGAUUGAUUUCAACUACAAGCUAUGGAGUUUUGACUAUGAGACUUAAUAAAAUAAGUUUUGUUGUUUCUCCUAUAACAAGAAGUCCAGGGUUAGGCAGUUUAAGGUCACUGUAGCAAUCCUGGAGCACUGGUGCUGCAGUUUCAAACAUUUUUCAGGCUCCGUCUCUCUUUUCUGCUCUCUUUGGUGUGUGGAUUUAUUCUCAUGAUCACCUAAUGACAACAAGAUGGCAGUUAUUUCCAAUCUUGUUACCACCAUCUAUUUAGAGAAAAGAUAGAAAAGUCACAAGGAGGAAGGGAUGGUCUUAUAUUAGGAAAACUGUGUUUCCUCAGAAAUCCUCCCACCUAUCUUACUGGCUAGACUGUGUCACAUAGAUAUUUCUCUACACAAGAGAGGCUACGAAUGUGAGAUUUCAGAUGACUGUGCUGCUAUUACUAACAAAAUUAGAGUUUUUUCUUGUUUUUUUUUAAUAAGAAAGGGAUCAGUGGUAGUAAACAACAUGACCAUUUUCUUUCCUAAGAACAUCCCUCCCAAAAAUGUUCUGUCCAAAAUUAAUAGAUAAAAUGAAGUUUCGUAAGAACACAGGAAGAAAUAAUUGAACAAAAAGAAGUCAGGAGAUUUGAUUAUAAUAGAUUAGCUUAUUUUGAGCAAGAAACUGGAUCAGACCCAUCAAAAAGAUCUGAAAACAUAGUGGUAGUUAUUAACCAAAUUUAUGGCACAUCACUUUUUGGUAACGUUUUGGUCCCUAGCCUGAGGGACUUUCCAACUAGAGCUAUUCUUUUGUCUUUGAACAGAAUUUCCUCUGAAUUCUUACUCAUUUCCUUGACUUCUGGACACAGUAGUUUUCAGUAGUGGCAUUUGUAUGUAGAAGCCUUUUUAUACGAUUUAAUUGAGAUCAAAGUUUGUUCUAUUAUUUAAAAUUUUUCUUUAAAAUAAGAAAUCAUAAACAUAUAUGAUUUAUUAAAAACUUCUUAGUUUUGUUUCAAUGUGGUAAAUAUAUAUAGCACAAAAUGGAUCAUUUUUAACAAUUCUCAGCAUACAGCUAGGUGGCAUUAAGUAGAUUCAUGUUGUUGUACAACCAUUACCACUACCCAUUUCCAGAACUUUUAAUUAUCUUAAAUAGGAAAUUUGUUCAUUUAAACAAUCAUUCCCCAUUCUCUCCUUUUUCCAGCUCCUGGUAAAUUCUAUUCUACUUUACAUUUUUAUAAAUUUGUCUAUUCUUGGUAUUUCUAAGUGGAAUCAUACAAUGUUUGCCUUUUGUUUCCAGCUUAUUUCGGUUACCAGGUUUUCAAAGCUCAUCCAUAUUGUGUAUGGAUUAGAAUUUAAUCUAUUUUUAAGGUUGGGUAAUAAUCCAUUUCAUACAUUUACAUGUAUAUAUACAUUGUAUAUAUGAAAUGUAUAUAUAUAAAACAAACAAAUGUAUAUACAUAAUAUUUUAUUCAUUCAUCUGUUGACAGACGUUUCUGUUAUUUACAACUUUUAGCUGUUGUGAAUAAUGCUUCUAUGAACAUGGAUGUACAUGUGUCUGUUUGAGUCCCUGCUUUCAAUUAUUUUAAGUAUGUAGUAUACUUAAAAGUGAAAUUAUGACAGGUAUUGUGAUUCGAUGUUUAAUUUUUUUGAGAAACUGCCAAACUGUUUAACUUCCACAGUGGCUGGGUCCUUUUACAUUUCAACGAACAAUGCACAAGAGUUGUGAUUGCUUCAUACUCUUGCCAACAUUUGUUAAUUUCCAUUUUUUAAAUGACAGCCAUUUUAAUGGAUGUGGAUUGGUAUAUCAUUGUGAUUUUGAUUGGCAUUUCCCUAAUGACUAGUUAUAUUGACCAUGUUUUUAUGUGUUUAUUUGCCAUUUGUAUAUAUUUUUCAGAGAAAUGUCAGUUCAAGUCCUUUGCCCAUUUUUUAAUUAGGUGGUUUGCUUCUUUAUUAUUGACUUGUGGUUCUACAUUUCAGUAGAUUACAGUAUUGCUCCUCAAAGAUCUGUAAUGAAUGACCAUUUUGUUCUUCUUCAGCCCCUCUCUAACUGAUGCUUUUGUUAAAUGCAAUAAAAAUAAAUUACUAGAAAAAUGAAAUAAAGUGCACAAAUCUCAAUUUUAUUAGUAGAUUCAACUGACAUGAAAUUAUAUUCCUAUAUAUAUAAAC
rnacentral:lncRNA from 10 species